rnacentral:lncRNA from 1 species
UUGAGAGGACUUCUUUUUAAAAAAAUUAAUUGAGCACAUUAAGAAAUUCUACAAUCACUCUCAAACACAUCAUUAGUAAAUAUAAUUUAUACUCAAAUACCUUUGACAUCAUCAAAAUCAAUUCUAUGACUAACAAAGAUGGUGCAAAAGUUUGUUAUUAGAGGCUCUAAUUAUAGAUUCAUUACUGCUAGCGACAGUCAUGCAUAUAAUAUUUCUAUCUUUAGAGUAGAGUUGAGGGCAGCAUGGAAAAGCAUCAGUUAUGUAAAAUUCAUCCUUGGGGCCGAUCUCAUUUACCUUGAGGGUGACUCAACGAUAGUGAUUGGAUGGACAAUGAGAUAGAUACAAUUAAUGGAAGGAUACUUUGUUACUAUAGAACAUCUGGAAGAUAGCGAGGAGUUGUGCCUUUUUCUGGGCCACUCAUGUUUAUCGUGAGGCAAAUAGAAUGGUAGUUUGGGUGUGAAUAUUGGAUGAUAAUUUUCACAACUACUUAAUAAAAAGAGUACAAUCAAAAUUUUGUUAAUUUUAAAAUACAAAGAUCGCUCUGUUUAUCCAUUUUAUAAAAUUGCCACCCAUUGACUAACUACAUUGGUAUCUAAGAAAUCUUCAUUCCUCUCCAAAAUAAAUCUUGACAUCUAAGA